rnacentral:snoRNA from 1 species
GUAGAGGUCCUGAUAGGACUUAUUCUGUAGUUGUACAUGAUUGGAAACCACGUGGAGUAAUGCUAAGUUUGCUUUUUUCACAGGACUAUAUGUUAGAUCUGUGGGAAGGAACGUCAAGGUAGAG